UGGGGAAUCUUCCGCAAUGGGCGAAAGCCUGACGGAGCAACGCCGCGUGAACGAUGAAGGUCUUAGGAUCGUAAAGUUCUGUUGUUAGGGACGAAGGGUAAGAAUCAUAAUAAGGUUUUUAUUUGACGGUACCUAACGAGGAAGCCACGGCUAACUACGUGCCAGCAGCCGCGGUAAUACGUAGGCGGCAAGCGUUGUCCGGAAUUAUUGGGCGUAAAGGGAGCGCAGGCGGGAAACUAAGCGGAUCUUAAAAGUGCGGGGCUCAACCCCGUGAUGGGGUCCGAACUGGUUUUCUUGAGUGCAGGAGAGGAAAGCGGAAUUCCCAGUGUAGCGGUGAAAUGCGUAGAUAUUGGGAAGAACACCAGUGGCGAAGGCGGCUUUCUGGACUGUAACUGACGCUGAGGCUCGAAAGCUAGGGUAGCGAACG
rnacentral:rRNA from 2 species